rnacentral:ncRNA from 1 species
AUCACAAGGAAUAGGACUAGAUAGAAAGUUUGGCUGGGGCGGCACACUUCGAAAGAGCAGCGAAGGUGUCGUAAGUUGAGCUCAGUGAGGACAGAAAUCUCACGUUGAGGAUAAGGCCAAAAGCUCAAUUUACUGUGCCUUUUUGUACUAGGAUCAGUUACGAAAGUAAGGCCUAACGAUCCCUAAAUAGCCUCAGGUGCGUGAGGAUUGGGGUGACAGACAAGUUACCUCCGGGACAACUGGCUUGUGGCUGCUAAGAGAUCAAAUCAACGCAGCUUUUUGAUUCUUCGAUGUCGGCUCUUCCUAUCCUAGUGAUGUACAAGUUGCUAAGGGUCGGAUUGUUCACCCGUAUUAGGGAUCGUGAGCUGGGUUUAGACCGUCGUGAGCCAGGUUUGUUUUAUCCUACUGGAUAUAGCAUCAUGAUAGUAGAUUGAUUUAGUACGAGAGGAACUGUUGAUUAUGGCCUCUGGUUAGCGAUUAUCGGAAACGGUAUGUCGCGCAGCUACGCCGUCUGGGAUAAUGGCUGAAAGCCUCUUAAGCCAGAAGCCCAUCUAGAAAGUGAUGCACGUGAUGUUGGACCGAUACGAAUAAUCAUACUCAAAAGGUCCGCUUCAUAGGUAACCCAAUGUAGAAGACAUUGUGUGAACGAAGGUACUGUAAGCAGUGGAGUGGCAUUACGUCCACGACCUGUUGAGGUUCAGCUUCGCUUCUAGGUUUCC